rnacentral:rRNA from 1 species
GUCAUGCCUCUUAUGACCUGGGCUACACACGUGCUACAAUGGUUGGUACAACGAGUUGCGAGUCGGUGACGGCGAGCUAAUCUCUUAAAGCCAAUCUCAGUUCGGAUUGUAGGCUGCAACUCGCCUACAUGAAGUCGGAAUCGCUAGUAAUCGCGGAUCAGCACGCCGCGGUCGAAUACGUUCCGGGCCUU